UAAGAAAUUCCUGUUAAGAAAUUGGACUGCAAAUUUUGAUGGCAAGAUGAAUGAGCUUCACUCGGCGAUUGUCACUGUGAAUUCUACCCCAGUGGAUCCUGGCUUGGCAUCGGGACUAUCCUCUUGGAUUGCUGGCAUGAUGAAUCAUCUUAAAGAAUGGGCUCGGAUAGGUGCCCUCGCUGUGGCCCUUGUUUUGGCAUGCAUGUUGUGUGUAUGGUGUAUGUGUCGGUUGUGGAAUGCCCAGGUCCGCACUGCCGCCACGGUGGUGUAAGCUUUUGCGGCAGUGGAAACAGGGCAGUCACCUCAGAUUUGGCUUGCUGCCAUGAAGAAUGAACAAUGAAGCCAUCACUCCGUAGGAUUGUAAGGCUAAGCACUGCACAGAGGUGAGAAAACCCCAAACUCAGGGUUUAGAUGACUUGUCCAUGACCCACAGAGGUACCAACUGGGGUUUUGAAAUGGUCUCUAACCAAAGUUCAUGGGAGAAGGUUUCCAUUGCAACAGCUUGGAGGAACUGCCUGAGUGAGAGAUGGCUGUAAACGCUGUUUAGAAGUGAACUGGAAAUGUGCUGAACUGGGGACUGACUCAAACGUUGAAGCCACACCACUUGAACUGCGUUCAAGGACAGAGCUGAAAUUAAAACAAACAAACAAACAAACAAACAAACAAACACUGUUGAAGGCAGUUGCAGAAGAGGGAAGACAUGAGGUGGCUGUGUGUACCAGCUUGAGGCAGCUUGCUCUGCUCUGCUCAGCUUGGAGGCUCUGCUGUCCCAGUAGGCAGCUGCACAGGGACAGGAGAGAAAGGGAUCUUCAGAGAGAACAAGAUACCCGAGGGCUCGGAUAGAAAUGAUUCUAAAUCAUUAACAACAACAAUAAAAACGAUCUAUCUCCUCUCAAUACAGAGAUCCCAAAAAUGUCAUCCUCAGAUCUGCACCAGAGAAAAUCUGAACCAUUGAAAAUCCUGCAUUAACUACGGUCACAAGAAUGGUCCUGGAUGUCAACCUAAGGAUGUGGCGUUUCCAGUCUCGUGAUGACACCUGCCUGACACUUGUUAUCAGGCGUGUGAGGCUCUGAGAAAAGGAGAAACAAGGAUGUCUGCUCGUGGAGGUGAGGGAGGCCUCAGGGAACCUCACGACAGAGUUCCACCAGGCAUGCAGUCUCACCAGAAGGGCAUACCUAAAACAGACGAGAGGAGGCUGGAGGAAGACAAGAUUGAAAGACUUCUAAACUGGUGUUCGAAGUGCUAAAUAUCAUACCUGAGUUGUCAAGGUUGGUAAGAAUAUUUAAUCCCUGGAGAAAACACGGAAAAUAAAACAAUGGAAAGAAACCCAAUGGAAAGACCUUAAGA
rnacentral:lncRNA from 1 species